rnacentral:rRNA from 1 species
AUUGAACGCUGGCGGCAGGCCUAACACAUGCAAGUCGAGCGAGCGGCGGACGGGUGAGUAAUGUCUGGGAAACUGCCUGAUGGAGGGGGAUAACUACUGGAAACGGUAGCUAAUACCGCAUACCAUCAGAUGUGCCCAGAGGGGAUUAGCUAGUCGGUGGGGUAACGGCUCACCUAGGCGACGAUCCAUAGCGGGUCUGAGAGGAGGACCAGCAACACUGGAACUGAGACACGGUCCAGACUCCUACGGGAGGCAGCAGUGGGGAAUAUUGCACAAUGGGCGCAAGCCUGAUGGAGCAAUGCCGCGUGUGUGAAGAAGGCCUUCGGGUUGUAAAGCACUGUCAGCGGGGAGGCGUUACCCGCAGAAGAAGCACCGGCUAACUCCGUGCCAGCAGCCGCGGUAAUAC